ACACAGCAUGUCAAAGAAUGACUACGCUCUGGUUUUACACAUCCGUAUUUUUAAACAGCACAAAAUGGUUGUACUUCUCAAUAUCGAAAUCUGACUGGGGCCUCUCCUGCUUGACCUUGCCCUGGAGGCUGCUGUCCUUCCAUGGGUGGGUGCCCAGGCUGAGCUUGCACGGGCUCCUUCAUGUCCCCCUUGGUCAACCUAGGUGAAGAGGGGAAGAAUCCAGCUCCCACCAUGCACCUUAUUGACAGAAGCCUUCCUCAGAUGAAUAUUCAUGAGCAGCCUAAGUUUCUUUGGCUUUUCUGUUUACUAGUUUUAUUAGCUCUUGAGAGGGGAGAGAGAGAGAGAGAGAGAGAGAGACUGGGGGAGACAGAGAAAGAAGCUGGGUGCGGUGGCUCAUGCCUAUAAUCUCAGCACUUUGGGAGGCUGAGGCAGGAGGACUGCUUGAGCCCAGGAGUUCAAGACCAGCUGAGCAACAUAGCAAGAUCCCAUCUCCAUAAAAAAAGAAAAAUAAAAAUUGAAGAGAGAGAGAGAGAGAGAGAACUUUCCAUAAUUAAUAGAGAUAAGGUCAGCAAGAUAACUCUUUUUUGCUCUUUUCCUAAUUGCCCCUUCCUGGGGUGAUUCCUUUCCUAAAUGGGCCUCCUCUUAAUCCUCAAGCUAUUAUGAUAUAAAAAUUAAAGUGUGAUAUCCUGGCUCGCCCAUUUCCUAUUAAUGGAAUGACCUGUGGUAAUCAAUAGAGGAAAUGCAGGAAUGUUAACAGAUGUGUGGUUCUGUUUGAGAGUCUCCAAUUAAGUGAUAUGUCUUCAAGGUGGAAAGAUGAGAUCAUUUUGAAAUUAGUUUCUUUUUGGCUUUUUAAGUCUUUGGUUAUUAUCAAUUGCAUUAAAAAAACCAAUUGGAAAGGAAAAUCGAUCGGUGCUGAAUUCCUCCCCCACCUGAAGUCUUCAUGCUUCCUCAGGAAGCUGUGGAGACUACCAAAUGGACUCGUCUAGAUUUCACAUGCAACGUGGCUCUGCCUUCCCUGAGCACUCUGGGCCUUUCCAUGGAGACAGAAUGAAUAGAUAAUGGUGAGUAGGGGGGAGCUAUAUUAAUUCAGAGAUUCCAGGAGGGGAUGAGGAAGAUCAAAUCAACAGCUGUGGAUACCU
rnacentral:lncRNA from 10 species